rnacentral:rRNA from 1 species
UACGUAGGUGGCGAGCGUUGUCCGGAUUUACUGGGCGUAAAGGGCGUGCAGGCGGUCUGCUAAGUCUAGGGUGAAAGCUCCCGGCUCAACUGGGAGAGGUCCUUGGAUACUGACAGACUUGAGGGAGGCAGAGGAGAAUGGAAUUCCCGGUGUAGUGGUGAUAUGCGUAGAUAUCGGGAGGAACACCAAUGGCGAAAGCAGCUUUCUGGGACGGUACUGACGCUGAGACGCGAAAGCGUGGGGAGCGAACAGG